GUGACGGGAGGGUGGGGCGCAGCUCGUGAGCCGCUGGCGGCGCGAGUUUGAGCGCGGCGCGCGGCGGCUGGCCCUAGGCUUCUGUGGCCCGCGCCCUCCCGCCCCUGCCGGCUCCCGCCAACCUGCGGAGGCCUGAGCCCGCCCGGACCAGGAUCCACCCCUCAAAGGGGGGUCUGCGGGUCGGAAAGGGAAGGCACGCUGUUGUUUGUAAAUCGGGGGUGGGGUGCGGUGAGUAAAGGAGCCAAAGUACACUUCGGAGGUGAAUUGUAGACCGGGACCUCCGAUCCGUUUCCGCGGCCUGGGUUUGGGUCCUGGAACAGGGGAGAAGAGUGUCCGGGAAAAAGGCUGGCGUGAGCUGCGGGGCGUGCUAUCUGGGCGCCUCAUGAGCAGAGUCCUCGAAAAGGUAUCCGUUAGUUAACUCGGCGAGCGUAAGCAUUUUAAUUCUGCCUUCCUAGACUGGAAUUUGUUUCAACAACCAGCCCUUCCUAAAAGCUGAAACACUUAUCUGUUUACUGGUUUAACGGCGCGUAUCUUCACUUGGUGCCAGUGCUUGAAUACAAGGCCUCCGGCAUGCUUCGCCAAAGCUGUGCUGAGCUACAUCUCCAACUGUGUUUUGGCUUUUUCUCUUAAAAGGAAGGGAAGGAGGGAGAAAGAGGAAGAAAAAGUUUAAAAAUUUUUGAUAACAUUAAAAUUAUGGUUCAACACAUAAACAACUUAAUGUUGACUCAAACUUCUAGAAAAAGAAGAGCAGGCUAAAUGAAGAGCACAUACAAGGGAAGAAAUUGUAAAGAUCAGAGAAGAAAUUAACACACUGGAGAUUAAAAAAUACAAAGAAUCAAUGAAUUGAAGAGUUGGUUCUUUGAAAGAUUAAAUAAAAUUGACAAACCCUUAGACAACCUUAUCAAAAAAAGGAAAGAAAAGAGUCGAAUCUACACAAUAAAGAUUGAAGAGGGCAAAAUCACAACAGACCCUGCAAAAAUCCAGAAGAUCAUCUAUGCCUAUUUUGAAAUCUUGUAUUCUAACAAGAUGGAAAAUACAGAAAAAAUGGACAGAUUCCUAAAUACAUAUGAAAGCUGAAUCAAGAAGGUAUAAAAAUCUUAAAUAGCCCAAUAUCAAUGAAUGAAAUCAAAGAUAUAAUAAAAACUUACCAACAAUGAAAAGCUGAGGCCGUGAUGUAUUCACUGUCAAAUUGUACAAGAAAUUUAGAAAAGACCUAACACCACUACGUCUCAGAUUCUUUAAUGAAACAGAAAGGGAAGCAAUACAUCCAAAUUCAUUCCUAGAAGCAAGCAUUACUCUGAUACCAAAACCAGAGAAGAACCCAGCUAAGAAAGAGAAUCACAGGUCAUUCCCUAAUGAACAUUGAUGCAAAGCUCUUCAGUAAGAUAUUGGCAAACAGACUGCAGUAAAUUGUCAAGAAGAUUGUACACCAUGAUCUAGUGGGAUUCAUCCAGGGAAUUCAGGGAUGGUUCGACAUGCGUAAAUCCAUAAAUGUAAUACAGUAUAUCAACAGAGCCAAGGACAUAAAUCAUAUGAUCAUCUCAAUAGAUGCAGAAAAAGCUUUGGACAUGGUCCAGAACCCAUUCAUGAUUAAAAAAAAAAAGCUAUAGAACAUUGGAAUAGAUGGUCUUUAUCUCAAUGUGAUUAACUGUGACAAACUAACAGCUAACAUCAUACUAAAUGGACAAAAACUGAAAGCUUUCCCUCUAAAAUCAAGAAUAAGACAAGGAGGGGCUGGGGAUUUAGCUCAGCAGCAUAAGCACCUGCCUUGCAAGCAGGCGGUUGUGAGUUUGAUCCCUGGUACCAGAAAAAAGGGGAAAAAAAAAGAAGACAAGGAUGUCCACUGUCUCCACUCUUAUUCAACACAGUCCUAGAAACUUUAGCUGGAGCAAUUAGAUAAAAGAAAGAAAUAAAAGGAAUAAAAAUAGGAAAGGAAGAAGUUAAACUAUUGUUAUUUGCAAGAUAGCAUGUAAUUAGAAGACCCCAAAAACUCCAGUAAAAAACUUAUAGAUUUAAUAAGCAAAUUCAGUAUUAUAGCUGGAUACAAAGUCAAGACUCAAAAAAAUCAAUAGUCUUGUUGUACAUAACAAACUCAUGGUGAGAAAUCAGGGAAGCAACACCUUUCAACAAGAGCAUCCAAAAAAAAAAUGAAACAUCUAGGCAUCAAUCUAAUAAAGAAUAUAAAAUACUUCUACAUUGAAAACUACAGUACUCUGAAAAAGGAGGUUAAAGAGGAUAUUAGAAAAAGGAGAGAUAGCCCAUACUCUUGGUAGGAAAAAGCAAUUUAAUGAAAAUGGCCAUUCUUCCAAAACUGUUAUACAGAUUCAGUGCAUACUCAAACAAAAUUCCAAUGGUGUAUUUCAAGGAAUUAGAGAUAACAAGCCUAAAAUUCAUCUGGAACCAGAAGAGACCUAGAAUCACAAAGGAAAUCCUGGGCAAUAAAGAUAAGCCGGGGCAUCACAAUCCCUGAUUUGAAAUUAUACCACAAAGCUAUUGUGAUAAAAACAGCAUGGUACUGGCAAAAAAAACCCCACAAAAAACAGACCUGAAGAUCAAUGGAACAGAUUAGAAAAUGCAGAAACAGCUCUGGACACACUAAACCACCACCUUAUCUUUGGCAAAGGUACCAAACACAUUCACUAGAAGAAAGAUGGCCUCUUUAAUAAAUGGUGCUAGAAAAACUGGCUCUAACUUGAUCCCUAUCUUUCACCAUGUACUAAGCUCAAAUCAGACUGGAUCAAAGAUCCAAUAUUAAAACAAAUAUUAAAUCUGCUGGAAGGGGCUGGGGGUUUAGCUCAGCGGCAUAAGCGCCCGCCUUGAAAGCAGGAAGUCGUGAGUUCGAUCCCCGGUACCGACAAAAAGGAAAAAGACAAAAAAAAAAAAAAUCUGCUGGAAGAUAGAGUAGGUAAAACUCUUGAAGACAUUGGUGUAGGCAAAGACUUUGUGAAUAAAACCUACAUUGCACAGGAACUAUUCCAAAGAAUCAACUACUGGAUCAGGGCAUGGUGGCACAGGCCUGUAAUCCUAGCAGUUGGUAGGCUAAGGCAGGAGAUGGUUGCCAGUUCAAGAUCAGCCUGAGCUACAAAGUGACCUCAAAGCCAGUUGAAAAAAAUCAACAACUAACAACUGGGAUCUCACCCUACUGAAAAGUUUUCACACAGUAAGAGAAAUCACCAACAGAGUGAAGAGACCACCCAUAAUGUGGAAGAAAAUGUUUGCCAGCUGUGUCUCAGACAAAGAAUUACUGUUGAGAACAUAUAAAGAACUAAAAAAACAACAACAACAACAAAAAACCCACAAAAAACAGUCCCCCUAGAUUUAAAUACCCAAUCUGAAAAUGGGCAUCUGAGUAGAAUACACACUUCUGAGAUGAAGAAAUACAAAAAGCAAUAUGUGAAAAAACAUUGAACAUCACUAGUCAUUCAAGAGAUGUAAAUUAAAACAAACUGAGAUUCCACUUUGCCCCAGAAAGAAUGGCUACUAUCAUGAAAUCAAGCAGUGGGCUGGAGAUUUAGUUAAGUGGCUCAAGUACUUGCCUGGUUAAGUGCAAGGUUGUGAGUUCGGAUCCCCAGUACCAAAAGAACCAAACAAACAAAAACAAAAAGAGAAAUCAAGCAGUAACAGUGUUGGAGGGGCUGUGGGGAAAAAGGAACUCUUCUCCACUGUUGAUGGGAGUGUAGACUGUUGCAACCACUCUUGAAGUCAAUACAGAGAUUCCUCAAAAAACUAGGAGUAGAGGUCCCAUUUGACCUAGCUCUUCCCUAUUGGUUAUCUUCCCAGAAGAACUGAAAACAUCAUCACAGUGAUAUAUAGGCACCCGUGUUUACAGCAGCACGGUUUGUAACAGCCAGGUCUUGGAAACAACCUAAAUGCCCAUCUACUGAGAAAUGUAUAAAAAAUGUAUUUUUAUACAAUGGAGUACUACUCAGCCAUAAAGACGGAUAAACUUGAGACUUAUAGCUAAAUGAAUGCAACUCAAGAACAUACUCAUUAGUGAAAUAAGACGUGUAAACAUAUGUGAGAUAAAGUAUGUAUAUGUAUAUGUACAUAAAAAUAGUUAAGAUAAUUGUACUAUCGAUUUUUCUGAAUUCACAGAAGAGAAAGAUUUGUGCUGGUAUUGUUCAGACAAUUGAAUGCAGAUGUCUUGUGCUCUGAGUAAAUAAUUUUGGGAUGACAAUAUACAAUGUAUGUACCAUUGUAGCUUCCUGAUUGAUGUGUUUUAAAAUUUAGUUGUAAUGGUUUUUAAAUUUUUAUUUAUUUUGUCUUUUUGAGACAGGAUCUCACUAUGCAGUUCAGGCUAGCCUUGGCUCACUUUGUAGCCCAGGCUGGUCUCGAACUUGCAAUGAUCCUCCUACCUUAGCUUCCCAAAUGCUGGGAUUAUAGGAGCGUGCCACCAUGCCUGGCUUGUUAUAGUUUUUUCUUUUUUCUUUUUUUCUUUUUAUCCUUGAAAUAAAACAGAUGUGGAAAAUAAAAUAAAAUUAUUCUUCAAAGCCUUGUUUGUCGUAAGCGCCUUCCUCUGGCAUGAGCCAGGAGGAGACCCAGUCAGUGUCCCCUGUGAGCUUACCGGUGUGUGGGCUGGGAAUCAAACACACACACACACACACACACACACACACACACGCACACACAUUAGCAGCUGGGGACAGAGGUCGGAGCAUCUCUUGGGAGAAUGAUUGUAUGCAAUAAGCAAAUAUGGGGGACUUCCUUCUAUCUUCUGUUUGAAAGUAAAUGUUUUGUUUCAUUUUUAUCCUAUUCAAUAUUCUCUUUUGAUUAGUUUUAUAACAUUCUGUCUUUGGUUUGAUUUUGCUAUAUGUAAUUGGCUAGACAACUAUUUUGAAGAUAACAAAAUAUACUAUGGUACCUAUUACUGUUAUCCUGGUAACCUGCUCUGAAGUUCUGUAAUAAUUGUCUCUAUUGGAUUUGUUCUGUCUUGUUCAGUUGUAUUUCUACUACCUUCAAAAUAAAAAAAUAAAUAAAUAAAAAACAAA